CAAACACGUCUCAAUACACAGUAGCUUUUAGAUACAGUAAUACUAAACUACCUCAUCUUCUCCAGCUAAUCAUAACCCUAACCAUUGCCGGCAACCACCGCCUCCCACCGGCGCCGUUCCCUUCUCAGCCUCUCUCAACUUCCCACGGCCACCGCCCCUCCCCAGCCUACUCCCCCUCCCGCCACUGCUUUCUCCUCUAGGAGAUUGAAACCCAGAUGAUGAAAUGAGGUUUCUUCAAGCAGAGAGAUGGGAAGUUUCUGAAGGUGGUUGCCUCUCUGUAAUCUGUACGAUACAGAAAAAGAAGCCCAGGAUUUCAUCUUCAUCUCUAAAUUUCAACAACCCUUUGGGUGUGUGAGUUUGUUGAGGUUGAUCUUUAUGUAACGAAUGAUAAACCAUUUAACAGUCCACCAUUUUCACUUCAACAUUGCUACCAUUAGUAUUGAAACAGAUGUAGCAUUGCCAACUGCAAUCAUUAGACCUUUGGAUGAUUCAAUCUCAAUAGAUCCAAGUGAGAUCUCUUGUACUAGGGACAAUGAGGUGGCUUACAAUCGUUUCAGCUUCAUCGUCAUUCAAAUUUAUUUAGACUUGUCCAGGAGAUAUGGUUGUAGCCAUUGGCCGCUCCUGUGGUAGAACCCAUGCGCUUAUGGCUGCACCUGGCAAAUUCAGUCUUGACUGCUGCAAAUUUGAUUGCAAAGAGCUUUUCAGGGCAAAUUGCAUUAUUACAAAAAGUGGUAUCGGGGGACCCCUUAUCAAUCGUUAUGGAGAAGUCAUUGGAGUCAAUUUUUACGAUGAUGUUUGUACCCCUUUUCUGCCGAUCAAUAUUGUUUCCAAAUGUUUGUUGUGAUUUAAAAAAAAUGGGAAAUCCCGUCGACCUUGGCAUGGCAUGGAAAUGACUAAUCUUUAUGCGGCAAGUGUAGGCAAGUUGGAAAAGAUUAUCUCGAAGUUCAAUAUCUCCAAAGGUAUUCUUGUUGAAGAGAUCCAGAUAGUGAUUACUUUACUUUAAAAAUGCAUCACGGGGGAACAUUUAUAUGUAAUCCAGAUAGGUUAUAUGUGGUGGGGGGAAGAAACAUAGUCAAAUACUUUGACUACUGCAAAGAUGAUUACAUGAGUAUGUUAUACAUCGAGGAUUUGGUGGAGAAAUUGGAUCGUAUUGGAAGCAUGUCAUAUUACUACAGAAUGCCUGAUAAAGAUCUUACUAGUGGGCUAGUCAAUGUAAGGAAUGACAAUGAGGUGAUGGGUAUGCUGAAAUUCUUAAAUAGAAAUAGGCAAAUUGAUUUCUAUUUGGAACACUAUCCUAAAACACAACCUAGUUCAAUACUGAUUGAUGACAUUGAUGAGUUGUUUGGAGGUCAAGACGAGUUUCAUAGGUAUAUGGAUGUAGUAGAAGCUCAGUUCCAAAAGAAUGGUGGUGGAGAAGCUGAGUUAGAGUAAGGUAAGGGUGUAGCAGAAGUUAAUGAUUUGUUUGAUAGUGGAUAUGAUGAAGGUUCUCAGACAGAGUCCACAGAUUUGGAGGACUAUGAGGAUAGUGAAAUUGAUGAAAGUGAAGAUGACAUGCUAUUUGAAACUCAUGUGGAUAGAAAUGUGGAAUGGGGUGGUUUAAUGAGGAAUAAUGUGACUGAUGAAGCUUGUACUCAUGAAGCUGGGGUUGGUUUAACCAACAAUCAAGCACAAGUUGAAGAGAGGUGGGAGGAUGAGUCAGCUUUAGAUGAGCUUAGAAGCAUUGAUUCAUCAACUGAAGGUGAGGAUAAUGGAAAAGAAGAAAGAAAGGUACCCUCAAUUUAAUAUGUAUACAGAUAUGGUUGAGCCCCAAUUUAAAUUUGGGAUGUUGUUUGGGACUUCCAAAAUCUUCAAAGAUGCUGUCAGACAGCAUGCUAUAAAGACUGAAAAAUCAGUUAAGUUUGUGAAAAAUGACAGCCUUAGGGUGAGAGCUACCUGUAAACCUCCAUGCAAGUGGGUCCUUUUUGCGUUUAAAGUUCAACGGGGAAAUAGUUUUCAAAUCAAAACCUACCACCCCACACACAAUUGUGGCAGAGUUUUCCAUAAUAGACAAGUCAAUUCAACUUGGUUGUCCAAGUACAUGGAGACACUUAAGACCAACCCUACAUGGCCGUUGUCUUCUUUCCAACAAGCUGUGCAGGUGGACCACAAAGGUGGGGUCUCAGAGUCGACUUUAUAGGGCCAAGAGGAAAGCACAAGAGCUGAUUGAGGGCAGCCAUCAGGAACAAUAUGCAAAUCUGUGGGAUUAUUGUGAAGAAAUUAGAAGAUCAAAUGUUCAUGAGAUUCAGCUAGAGGAUGAGGAUGAGGACGAGGACGAUGUAGGGAAGUCCAGAUUUGAAAGGAUUUAUGUAUGUUUGGGGGCUUUUGAGCAAGGCUUCAUUGCACGUUGUAGGCUAUAUAUUGGAGUGGAUGCUUGCCAUUUGAGAGGUCCUUACAAAGGGCAGUUGCUUCAAUCUGUGGCCAUUGAUGGUAACAAUAACACUUUUCCAGUAGCUUCUGUUGUAGUGGAAGGGGAAACAAAAUCCUCAUGGAAGUGGUUUAUAUGAAGAAGUUGCAAAGGUCAACCAGUUGAAGGCAAUGCUAUAAGGCCAAAGUUACCUGUGAGGAAGAAUAAUAGGUCAAGUCAAGUUGAAAUACCUCCAAUGGCUACUGACCAAAACAUGGCAAGGAGGAGUAAGGCAAAGGUAGCUGUUGCAGAAGGUAGUAGCAAGGGCGCCAGGGCGAAGAUAGCAGCUGCAAGACCUAGUGGCAGUCAACCAAGCAUGGGCACCAGUUCCAUGUGUUUGCUAUUUAUACUUUGAUGAACACCGUUUUGGUAUUGGCAUGGGUUCCAGUGCUCCAUUUUUGUGGCCAUGGGUUCCAGUCAUAGAUCUAAAUAUCCGUACUGGCCGAUUCGUACCGGAAAAUCGAACCACCGAUUCGGAUAUAGACCGGUAUAGCGGUGGGAAUGAAAUUCGCAGCCGUAGUGUUUGAGUCCCGGUACGUGCCGGCCUGAAUCUGAUACAUACGGCGAUACAGUCCGAUACACAUUGGUUGUCGCCGGUACGGAUGAGAAUCAGCGCAGAAAACCUGCAAGAUAUAAGCUUCUUUGGGCUGUGGAGUUCACUUCGAUCUUCAAGCUUCUUCAGAGAAGGGUACUUUCUUCAAGCCAAGGCCAUACCCCUUGAUCAACUGAGAAAGUGUGGAUGGAUUGCUAGCUGGAGAUUUUUUAUGCAUCCAUUAUUGCCACAAAAUCCCUUGGUCUUUGCCAUCGGAACCCUAGGUUGUUGUCGAAGCCCUUGGAUCAAGCAAGAGUACAAGCAGCUGCAGAAGCACUUUGCAAGAAGUUUCAUCCGGGGGCUUUCUAUGAAAUCAAUUGACUCAAGGGGGUGAAACUGCUCGCCUUUGAAGCAUAGCCUGCUCGGGCUUUGACUGAGCUUUGUCAUAGCUGCGUCAGGCAGCCUUUCUACUGGGGAUUCAGAUGGUGGGUGGGUGGGUGACACUAGAAUUGCAACAGGGGAAAGGUUUUUUAUUUUUAUUUUUAUAAUAAUUAAGAAAAAAAUUAAAAAUAGAAAUAAGGUUCUCAGAAUCUCAAUGUUUUAUAUGUAGUGAAUGAUAUAUGGUUGUAAACAAUAGCAAUUGCAUGAAUAUCUUAAUUAGCAGACAGGUCAUUCUGAUACACUUGGUUGGAUUUGCAAUUCCAGAUAGAAUGAACACACCUUUUUUAGUGUAUGGCUAAAUUAGUCAAUUAAUUUGAUCACUACGUAUCUAUU